rnacentral:rRNA from 1 species
UACGUAGGGGGCAAGCGUUGUCCGGAUUUAUUGGGCGUAAAGGGCGCGUAGGCGGCCUUCUAAGUCGAACGUGAAAUCCCCGGGCUCAACCCGGGAACUGCGUCCGAUACUAGAAGGCUUGAAUCCGGGAGAGGAGAGUGGAAUUCCCAGUGUAGAGGUGAAAUUCGUAGAUAUUGGGAAGAACACCGGUGGCGAAGGCGGCUCUCUGGACCGAGACUGACGCUGAGGCGCGAAAGCGUGGGGAGCAAACAGG